AGCAGCCGCGGUAAUUCCAGCUCCAAUAGCGUAUAUUAAAGUUGUUGCAGUUAAAAAGCUCGUAGUUGAACUUCAGGCCUGGCUGGACGGUCCGCCUUCCGGGUGAGUACUGUCUGUGGUCGGGUCCUACCUUCUGGCGAAUCGGCAUGGCCUUAACCGGCCGUGGCGGGGAACCAGGACUUUUACUGUGAAAAAAUUAGAGUGUUCAAAGCAGGCACGCGCUUGAAUACAUUAGCAUGGAAUAAUGGAAUAGGACAGUGGUUCUAUUUGUUGGUUUCUAGGACCGUUGUAAUGAUUAAUAGGGAUAGUUGGGGGCAUUAGUAUUCAAUUGUCAGAGGUGAAAUUCUUGGAUUUAUUGAAGACUAACUACUGCGAAAGCAUUUGCCAGGAUGUUUCAUUAAUCAAGAACGAAGUUAGGGAUCGAAGACGAUCAGAUACCGUCGUAGUCUUAACCAUAAACUAUGCCGACUAGGGAUCGGAUGAUGUUAAUUUUUAGUGUACUCAUUCGGCGCCGUUACGG
rnacentral:rRNA from 1 species